AUUGAACGCUGGCGGCAUGCCUUACACAUGCAAGUCGAACGGCAGCAUGAUCUAGCUUGCUAGAUUGAUGGCGAGUGGCGAACGGGUGAGUAAUACAUCGGAACGUGCCCUGUAGUGGGGGAUAACUAGUCGAAAGAUUAGCUAAUACCGCAUACGACCUGAGGGUGAAAGUGGGGGACCGCAAGGCCUCAUGCUAUAGGAGCGGCCGAUGUCUGAUUAGCUAGUUGGUGAGGUAAAGGCUCACCAAGGCGACGAUCAGUAGCUGGUCUGAGAGGACGAUCAGCCACACUGGGACUGAGACACGGCCCAGACUCCUACGGGAGGCAGCAGUGGGGAAUUUUGGACAAAGGGCGAAAGCCUGAUCCAGCAAUGCCGCGUGUGUGAAGAAGGCCUUCGGGUUGUAAGGCACUUUUGUCCGGAAAGAAAUGGCUCUGGUUAAUACCUGGGGUCGAUGACGGUACCGGAAGAAUAAGGACCGGCUAACUACGUG
rnacentral:rRNA from 1 species